CGCCUUGAGAAGUUUAAUAAUUUGAGGUCGGGCCUGCCCGGUGGUCGACAGACUAAACGGUCGCAGUUAGGAGCUGUGAUAAUGUAGCGUAAUAAGUUGUCCUUUAAUUGGGGAAUGGAAUGAAUGGUUUGACGUGAUUUUAGCUGUGUCAGCGAUAUAUCAUGAAUUUUACUUUUAAGUGAAAAGGCUUAAAUGAGUUUAAUAGACGAGAAGACCCCGUCGAGCUUGAUGAGGGGUAUGGAGUGGUGUCCUUAUCCUAAAGUUUUGCUGGGAGAGCAUAGAGCUAAAAUGAAUGCUCUACUAUAUAGAAGGAGAUCCAGUAGGAUUGAUAAGGUGAGUAAGUUACCGCGGGGAUAACAGCGCGAUACCUUUUUAGAGAACGUAUUGGGGGAGGUGUUUGCGACCUCGAUGUUGGAUUAGAGUGUCUCCUUGGCGCAGAAGCUGGGGUAGUGGGACUGUUCGUCCUUUGAAACUUUACA
rnacentral:rRNA from 1 species